AUGGCUAUGGGUAUUUGCCGCCAGGGAUCCUUGUCGGGUGGUGAACUGGGAAGGGAGAUCCCUUCCGCGGUCAGGGGUACCGUGCAACUACCCUUUUUUUUUUUAGUUUUGGUGGAAAAUGGACCUAGAAUCUUUGGUAAGAAAUUCUGAUUUGUUAGGUUUCAUGGCUAUCAAUUUUGUAUACCCUUUAGCAAAUUUGGAAAUUCGAUAGUAUUAAUAACUGCUCAAAGUCAGAACACAUCUUCUGAAAUCCGUAUGGCUAAGUGUAGUGGUGAAAAUAGGCGGGUUGGUUAACGGGGCAUGGGUCCAGUUGACUUACAAACCAUCUUUUUGUCUACUUAAUUUGUUUUUCUAUACUAUAUAUAAUAUGCAUAUUGUUAUUUCUAGCAACUGAUGUUGAAAUUUUGGGGAGUGUAAUGAUGAUUCUGACAGCUUGAGUAGCAAUUUGCGAUGGCAACAAUGACUACCCGCGGCGGAGGUGAACUCCAGCCGCCAAACUGCGGUGGUCUAUGGUGGUGGUUGUAUACUCCGGCCGCCAAAAUCAUUUUGUGUUGAAGUAUAGCGGGAGAUCUCUGAACUCCAAGGUUACAGUGGAUGGACAAGGAAGAAUAGACUCCAGUUGCUGAUGAAAGUCAAGAUAGAGUUGAAUUUCUACUAAAGGAAGGCACGGGUAAAGAUACCACCGAACUAAUUGCUUCCGGAAGGGAGUAGUGGGCGUCAGUUUCGUUCCAUCUGGUGGUGGUGGUUGUGUUGUAGUUGCUGGUGGUGCUGCACUUGCUGCUGUUGCCGUAGUUGAGGCAAAGAAAGAGGAGAAGGUUGAAGAGAAGAGGAAUAUGAUGUUGCAAAGUUAAUAAUUACCAGCGGAAAAGGUCAAGUCUUGGCAGCGGGAACAGCAGAGAUCUCGAACAGGUGUAUUGGUAAUCGACAAGUUUUCAGAGUGUGGGCUUCGUUCUCUUGGAGUUUCUUGCCAGGAAGUGCCGGCUGGAAAGAAAGAGAGCAUGGGUGAAUUGUGGGAGUUCAUCCGCCUUCUUCCUUUAUUCAACCCUCCACAACAUGACAGUUCUGAAACUAUCAUACGAGGCCUUUGGCUGAUGUGGACUACCUUCAUAAAAUUACUCGUAGAUGUGUUUGUAUAGAAUUUAUUUUAUGUCAUAAAAUCGUAGAUGCGUUUGUACAAGAUUUUGUUUGUUUUCUAUAUAGAAGAGCUAUACAAUAUAAUGGGCGAAACUUCAUUGGGGAAAGGGGCGUCCCCUUUUCGCUUUGUAGUGUUAAUUUUACCAAAAUUUUCAAAAUUUUAUUUUGUAAUGUAACAUAUUGGAUUUUGACAGUACCUUAACCGAAAAUUUAGAUUUUAGUUAUGACCGAACUGUAAUGAACCUUCUCAUGCACACCCUUAGAAUUACUAACAAGUGUUGUGUU
rnacentral:lncRNA from 1 species